GCGGAGACGCAUGUUUCCGUUCACUCCUCACACCACACUCCGCCUGGACUUCGGUUUAGGCGGUU
rnacentral:sRNA from 1 species